rnacentral:rRNA from 1 species
AGAGUAGUUGUAUCAUGCUACGAGGACAACGCUGGCGGCGCGCUUAAUACAUGCAAGUCGAACGAGAAGCCAGAGCUUGCUCUGGUGGAAAGUGGCGAACGGGUGAGUAACACGUGAGAAACCUGCCCCAAAGAUUGGGAUAAGCCUUGGAAACGAGGUCUAAUACCAAAUACCUUCCUUUAACACAUGUUAAAAAGAAGAAAUGCUCCGGCGCUUUGGGAUGGUCUCGCGAUCUAUCAGCUUGUUGGUGAGGUAACGGCUCACCAAGGCAUCGACGGAUAGCUGGUCUGAGAGGAUGUCCAGCCACAUUGGAACUGAGACACGGUCCAAACUCCUACGGGAGGCAGCAGUAGGGAAUCUUGCACAAUGAGGGAAACCUUGAUGCAGCGACGCCGCGUGCGGGACGAAGGCCCUAGGGUUGUAAACCGCUUUCAGUAGGGACGAAAGUGACGGUACCUACAGAAGAAGCCCCGGCCAACUAUGUG